AUUGAACGCUGGCGGCAGGCUUAACACAUGCAAGUCGAGCGAGCGGCGGACGGGUGAGUAAUGUCUGGGAAACUGCCUGAUGGAGGGGGAUAACUACUGGAAACGGUAGCUAAUACCGCAUCCCAUCAGAUGUGCCCAGAUGGGAUUAGCUAGUAGGUGGGGUAAUGGCUCACCUAGGCGACGAUCCCUAGCUGGUCUGAGAGGAUGACCCGCCACGCUGGGACUGAGACACUGCCCAGACUCCUACGUGAGGCAGCAGUGGGGAAUAUUGCACAAUGGGCGCAAGCCUGAUGCAGCCAUGCCGCGUGUAUGAAGAAGGCCUUAGGGUUGUAAAGUACUUUCAGCGGGGAGGCGUUACCCGCAGAAGAAGCACCGGCUAACUCCGUGCCAGCAGCCGCGGUAAUUC
rnacentral:rRNA from 1 species